ensembl:lncRNA
CGCAACAGUCACAGCCCACCACCUGUCUCCGAGUUCCAAUGCGUCUUGAUCGCCACGCCGAUGAACAAGUAUGCCUUGCACCUUGAGUCCCUGAGUUGCGCUUCAGGUAUAAGUUGUCCACGCUUCACUCUCACGCACUGGGGUGAGAUCUACCAUUUGAUCUUGAAAAUCUCCCUUAAUGUCCAGGGAAGGGAAACCAGCCAGGUUAUGCCUUUAAAGGGCUCGUGCCUUGUCCUUGAAAGAGCUCUUGCCCAGAUGUCAGACACUAGUCGCAACAGUCACAGCCCACCACCUGUCUCCGAGUUCCAAUGCGUCUUGAUCGCCACGCCGAUGAACAAGUAUGCCUUGCACCACGAUGCGCUAUAGGCUUCGAGCUGGG